AUAGUCGAAAAAAAUUGCAUU
ensembl:piRNA 21ur-1653 ncRNA